UACAGAGGUCUCAAGCGUUGUUCGGAUUCAUUGGGCGUAAAGGGUGUGUAGGUGGCGCCGUAAGUCGGGUGUGAAAUUUCGGAGCUUAACUCCGAAACUGCAUUCGAUACUGCGGUGCUUGAGGACUGGAGAGGAGACUGGAAUUCAUGGUGUAGCAGUGAAAUGCGUAGAUAUCGUGAGGAAGACCAGUGGCGAAGGCGGAUCUCUGGACAGUUCCUGACGCUGAGGCGCGGAAAGGCCCAG
rnacentral:rRNA from 1 species